UACAGAGGGUGCGAGCGUUAAUCGGAUUUACUGGGCGUAAAGCGUGCGUAGGCGGCUUUUUAAGUCGGAUGUGAAAUCCCUGAGCUUAACUUAGGAAUUGCAUUCGAUACUGGGAAGCUAGAGUAUGGGAGAGGAUGGUAGAAUUCCAGGUGUAGCGGUGAAAUGCGUAGAGAUCUGGAGGAAUACCGAUGGCGAAGGCAGCCAUCUAGCCUAAUACUGACGCUGAGGUACGAAGGCAGGGGGAGCAAACAGGAUUAGAUACCCUGGUAGUCCAUGCCGUAAACGAUGUCUACUUGCCGUUGGGGCCUUUGAGGCUUUAGUGGCGCAGCUAACGCGAUAAGUAGACCGCCUGGGGAGUACGGUCGCAAGACUAAA
rnacentral:rRNA from 1 species